GGUUUCUUGCCUAGAGAGAACUAUAUAUAGAAAAAGUAUAUCCCGUGUCUUUUGUCCUUCUACCUUCUGAUAAUACACGUUUGUUGAAGUAGUGUGAGAAGGCGUCACAGUGACUAACUGAUGUCAGGAAUUCCACGAUAGCUGUACUAUGAAUAGUCACGCUUUCUUAGUGUCACAAAUUGGACAAGAGUUGGAGGAUAUGAGUCAAUAAUUUUAGUUCUCCCAGUUUCACACUGUAAAAGAAUAUGAUUACUUUUUGGCAUAAGGACAAGGCUUUGACCGCAAAGGUGAGGGAGCUUGAAGAUCAUACACAAGGAGAAUCGCAGAUGGGAGGCAUCCCAGCCCUUCAAUCAUUCAAGAUCUGGAACUUGUGA
rnacentral:lncRNA from 1 species